rnacentral:rRNA from 1 species
GACGAACGCUGGCGGCGUGCUUAACACAUGCAAGUCGAACGGAAAGGCCCUGCUUUUGUGGGGUUCUCGAGUGGCGAACGGGUGAGUAACACGUGAGUAACCUUCCCUUUACUUUGGGAUAACUUCAGGAAACUGGGGCUAAUACCGGAUAGGAGCUCCUGCUGCAUGGUGGGGGUUGGAAAGUUUCGGCGGUUGGGGAUGGACUCGCGGCUUAUCAGCUUGUUGGUGGGGUAGUGGCUUACCAAGGCUUUGACGGGUAGCCGGCCUGAGAGGGUUAACGGCGACAUUGGGACUGAGGGACGGCCCAGACUCCUAUGGGAGGCAGCAGGGGGGAAUAUUGCACAAUGGGCGGAAGCGUGAUGCAGAAGCGCCGCGUGCGGGAUGACGGCCUUCGGGGGGUAAACCGCUUUCGCCUGUGACGAAGCGUGAGUGACGGUAAUGGGUAAAGAAGCACCGGCUAACUACGUG